rnacentral:rRNA from 1 species
GAUGAACGCUGGCGGCGUGCCUAAUACAUGCAAGUCGAGCGAACAGACGAGGAGCUUGCUCCUCUGACGUUAGCGGCGGACGGGUGAGUAACACGUGGAUAACCUACCUAUAAGACUGGGAUAACUUCGGGAAACCGGAGCUAAUACCGGAUAAUAUAUUGAACCGCAUGGUUCAAUAGUGAAAGACGGUUUUGCUUUCACUUAUAGAUGAAUCCGCCUCGCAUUAGCUAGUUGGUAAGGUAACGGCUUACCAAGGCAACGAUGCUGAGCCGACCUGAGAGGGUGAUCGGCCACACGGGAACUGAGACACGGCACAGACUCCUACGGGAGGCAGCAGUAGGGAAUCUUACGCAAUGGGCGAAAGCCUGACGGAGCACAGCCGCGUGAGUGAUGAAGGACUUCGGAUCGUAAAACUCUGUUAUUAGGGAAGAACAAAUGUGUAAGUAACUAUGCACGUCUUGACGGUACCUAAUCAGAAAGCCACGGCUAACUACGUG